rnacentral:rRNA from 1 species
GACGAACGCUGGCGGCGUGCCUAAUACAUGCAAGUCGAACGCAGUGGGUACGGGUGAGUAACACGUGGGUAACCUCCCAUCAAAUGGGAUAACCCUUGGAAACAGGUGCUAAACCGAUACUGAUGGAUGGACCCGCUGUGCAUUAGCUAGUUGGUGUGGUAACGGCUCACCAAGGCCACGAUGCAUAGCCGACCUGAGAGGGUGAUCGGCCACACUGGGACUGAGACACGGCCCAGACUCCUACGGGAGGCAGCAGUAGGGAAUCUUCGGCAAUGGGCGAAAGUCUGACCGAGCAACGCCGCGUGAGUGAAGAAGGUUUUCGGAUCGUAAAACUCUGUUAUUAGAGAAGCGGUAUCUAACCAGAAAGCCACGGCUAACUACGUGCCAGCAGCCGCGGUAAUAC